rnacentral:lncRNA from 1 species
UAAAAAAAUUUAAAUUCAAAUAUAAUGAGAGGGGUAAUAUUAUUAUUUUCUAUUUAUAAUCAUCAACUAUUUCUUUUAUUCCCAAUAACCAUCCAAACACAAUUUUUCUAGUUCCAGCUUAUACUCACAUUUUUAUCCAAAUUAAAAAAUACUCUUGUUCUUACAAAAAUUCAUACUUGUAGCUACUCCUGAAAUAACUAGUUCUUACUAAUUUCCGAACCAAACGAAGCCUAAAACAAUGUAGCAAAUAGGCUUGUCUAAACUUUCUAAAGUAAUUUAAUAGG